CUCCCAUACCGGAUUCUCUCUCGCGUGCCUCUCUCUCUCGCCCGACCUCUCUCACGGUUACCUCUCUCUUUCUAUGUCUGUGUGUGUGUGUGAGUUUUGAUUCAGAUUUUUUUUUGUGCUUGGUGAAGGAGGAUGUAGACGAAGCUUGAUGGAGGAGGCUCCUCGCCGUGACUUCUCCGACGACAAGCACGGUCUCACGUCUCCAGAUCUAUGCUGCCUUUUGCCCGAGCUUGCUCCCCCUAAAUUCACCAUCCAGAGCGAUGACAAGCAUGGAUGUAGUAUUGCUCUCUUCUCAUUACCUGAUGUUGGUGUUACUUGCUUUUUGAUGUUAGGUCUUCUAAAGUGUGCGGUAUUGGACUUUUGAACAAUAAAGCACAACAUGUGUUUCACCCUUUUGAGAGAGAUAAAUUCAGAUGUCGCUAUGAUUACUAUUGGGGUCAUGGUUCUUCUUAGACUGGCUCGUUUGCUUUUUGAAGAAAUUGAACAUGCUAAGAGUGGUUGAAAGAUGGUUCUAUAUUUGUUAUCGAAGCAGUUACUGCCAUUUGUGAGGCCAAGAUGUAAUAUAGAAUAAGAGUAUGGUUCUAUGACCAGCAAGUAAGAGUAUGGUUCUACGUUUCCCAAUGCUAAUAAUGUAAUUUGCACUUUAUGAAAUAAUAAAUUUCAAUAGUCUUUUUCUCA